rnacentral:rRNA from 1 species
CAGUAGCCGCGGGAAAACGUAGGGCGCAAGCGUUAUCCGGAAUUAUUGGGCGUAAAGAGCUCGUAGGCGGUUUGUCGCGUCUGCCGUGAAAGUCCGGGGCUCAACCCCGGAUCUGCGGUGGGUAUGGGCAGACUAGAGUGAUGUAGGGGAGACUGGAAUUCCUGGUGUAGCGGUGAAAUGCGCAGAUAUCAGGAGGAACACCGAUGGCGAAGGCAGGUCUCUGGGCAUUAACUGACGCUGAGGAGCGAAAGCAUGGGGAGCGAACAGGAUUAGAUACCCCCGUAGUCCCUGUCUCUUAUAU